GGUUAAGCGACUAAGCGUACACGGUGGAUGCCCUGGCAGUCAGAGGCGAUGAAGGACGUGCUAAUCUGCGAAAAGCGCCGGCGAGGUGAUAUGAACCCUUGACCCGGCGAUGUCCGAAUGGGGAAACCCAGUGUGUUCCGACACACUAUCGUUAACUGAAUACAUAGGUUAACGAGGCGAACCGGGGGAACUGAAACAUCUAAGUACCCCGAGGAAAAGAAAUCAACCGAGAUUCCCCCAGUAGCGGCGAGCGAACGGGGAGCAGCCCGGAGUCUGAAUCAGCUUGUGUGUUAGUGGAACGGUCUGGAAAGUCCGACGGUACAGGGUGAUAGUCCCGUACACGAAAAUGCACUUGCUGUGAACUCGAAGAGUAGGGCGGGACACGUGGUAUCCUGUCUGAAUAUGGGGGGACCAUCCUCCAAGGCUAAAUACUCCUGACUGACCGAUAGUGAACCAGUACCGUGAGGGAAAGGCGAAAAGAACCCCGGCGAGGGGAGUGAAAAAGAACCUGAAACCGUGUACGUACAAGCAGUGGGAGCCUCUUUAUGGGGUGACUGCGUACCUUUUGUAUAAUGGGUCAGCGACUUAUAUUCUGUAGCAAGGUUAACCGUAUAGGGGAGCCGAAGGGAAACCGAGUCUUAACUGGGCGUUAAGUUGCAGGGUAUAGACCCGAAACCCGGUGAUCUAGCCAUGGGCAGGUUGAAGGUUGGGUAACACUAACUGGAGGACCGAACCGACUAAUGUUGAAAAAUUAGCGGAUGACCUGUGGCUGGGGGUGAAAGGCCAAUCAAACCGGGAGAUAGCUGGUUCUCCCCGAAAGCUAUUUAGGUAGCGCCUCGUGAACUCAUCUUCGGGGGUAGAGCACUGUUUCGGCUAGGGGGCCAUCCCGGCUUACCAACCCGAUGCAAACUACGAAUACCGAAGAAUGUUAUCACGGGAGACACACGGCGGGUGCUAACGUCCGUCGUGAAGAGGGAAACAACCCAGACCGCCAGCUAAGGUCCCAAAGUCAUGGUUAAGUGGGAAACGAUGUGGGAAGGCACAGACAGCCAGGAUGUUGGCUUAGAAGCAGCCAUCAUUUAAAGAAAGCGUAAUAGCUCACUGGUCGAGUCGGCCUGCGCGGAAGAUGUAACGGGGCUAAACCAUGCACCGAAGCUGCGGCAGCGACACUAUGUGUUGUUGGGUAGGGGAGCGUUCUGUAAGCCGUUGAAGGUGUGCUGUGAGGCAUGCUGGAGGUAUCAGAAGUGCGAAUGCUGACAUAAGUAACGAUAAAGCGGGUGAAAAGCCCGCUCGCCGGAAGACCAAGGGUUCCUGUCCAACGUUAAUCGGGGCAGGGUGAGUCGACCCCUAAGGCGAGGCCGAAAGGCGUAGUCGAUGGGAAACAGGUUAAUAUUCCUGUACUUGGUGUUACUGCGAAGGGGGGACGGAGAAGGCUAUGUCAGCCGGGCGACGGUUGUCCCGGUUUAAGCAUGUAGGCGGAGGUUCCAGGUAAAUCCGGUACCUUUUAACGCUGAGGUGUGAUGACGAGGCACUACGGUGCUGAAGUGAUAAAUGCCCUGCUUCCAGGAAAAGCCUCUAAGCAUCAGGUAACACGAAAUCGUACCCCAAACCGACACAGGUGGUCAGGUAGAGAAUACCAAGGCGCUUGAGAGAACUCGGGUGAAGGAACUAGGCAAAAUGGUGCCGUAACUUCGGGAGAAGGCACGCUGAUA
rnacentral:rRNA from 1 species